AAUAUCUCGAAAUAUCUAAACCAAUUGAUUUUGUUGAUUGUUUCCAUUUCUUCAUACUUCUUCUUCUUCUUCUGUCUUCUCUCUUUCGCCUCAAUUUUCCCGACUGCGAUUGUAACUGUCACCGAUUUGUAGAGCUAAGCCCUCGGAGCUAUUAGGUUUAUUUUGUUGUUGACUUGAUUUAAUCUCGUUUUGGAGCUGAACAGGGGAGUGAGCCCUAGGUUUUUGGAGUGGAGGAUGGGGGAGGAGGUGAAGAUGAGCGAAUAUGAGAGUGGCGGCGGCGGCGGCGGUGGUGGUGGUGGUGGUGAUGAGAACGGAGCUCAUGAGGAGAGGGUGUUUGAAUGGGAGACGGGUUUGCCGGAUGCUGAUGAUCUUACUCCUCUGUCUCAGACGUUGAUUCCGCCGGAGCUUGCGUCGGCAUUCAGUAUCUCGACAGGGCCGUCUAGGACGGUGAUGGAUCUUUAUCGAGCAUCGCAGAAUACUCUUUCGAAUCUUCGUGGAUUUCAAUCGCAAGCGUUUUCAUCGAAUAAUUUCAAGUCAUUCAAUGAUGAUCGGACUCGGGAUCAUGAUCCGAUGGUUUUUGAAGGAGAUGAGAUGACAGAGAGAGAUGCGGGGUCGGAUUCUAGGAAAUUGAGGAAGGUUGAUUGUGCGGAGGAGGCUGAUUCGGCUCUUCGGACUGAUAAUUCGAUGGAUGAUCCAUCGGCUCGGACGUUGAAGAGACCGAGGCUUGUUUGGACGCCGCAAUUACAUAAGCGGUUUGUGGAUGUGGUUGCUCAUCUUGGGAUUAAGAACGCGGUUCCUAAAACUAUUAUGCAGUUGAUGAACGUGGAGGGAUUGACUCGCGAGAAUGUUGCGAGUCAUCUUCAGAAAUAUAGGCUUUACUUGAAGAGGAUGCAGGGAUCUUCCAACGAGGGCCCGUCGUCGCCGGACCGGAUUUUCGCUUCCACGCCUGUGCCGCAGAGCUUGCACGAGUCUUCCAACAGUGGGCAUGGGAAUGGAAAUGGGCAUUUGCCAGUUCCUACUCCGAUACCGUACGGACCGCCGAUGAUGCCUAUGCCGGUGCUUGGCAUGGCAGCACCUGGUCAUGCUCACAGUUAUAUGGGUAUGCCUGUCGCUCAUCCGGGAAGCGCACAGGGAUACCAUGGGUUUGAAACCCAUCCUUACCAUAUGAUGCAUCAGAGAGAUUGGUCGGGCAACAAAUACGGCUCGAUCGUGCCUUACCCUCAUCCUCAUGUGCCUCCUAGUACUAAUGAUAAGUGAAUUCCGCUAAUUUUCAGGUAUAAUGUAAGAUGCAUGAGACUGUAGUUACGGGAGGCAAGAGAUGGCCUAAUCCCCAUCACAUUGAAAUUCUUGCCCAUCACCUCUGGUGAAUUAUAGAAGUAUUGAAGGGCACACCAAAUGAUCCUUCGUCAGUGGAAUCGAUGUGUGUUUUGUGAUUCUCUCCUUCUUAGGAUGUCAUGAAAGAUAUCACUCUGGAAGGAAUGCUUUCCAUAAGGUCCGUGAAAUAAACACUGGGUGCCCAGAUGCCGAUACACGUGUAUACGAACAUUCGUAUCAGUUAUAUUAUUAUGUUGUCUACCAGGAACUCAACAAUUGGAUGCCCUUGAGAUAUUUAAAAUGUAUCUCCAUUCUAGUUUGUGCUGUAACUCAUGAACUUGAAUCACAACAGAUUUGAUAUCUGAACCCCAUUUUUUGGUUC